AAUGGUUGCCAUUAGCUUUUA
rnacentral:siRNA from 1 species